rnacentral:rRNA from 1 species
UGACCUCGAAUCAGGUAGGAAUACCCGCUGAACUUAAGCAUAUCAAUAAGCGGAGGAAAAGAAACCAACAGGGAUUGCCCCAGUAACGGCGAGUGAAGCGGCAACAGCUCAAAUUUGAAAUCUGGCUCUCGGGCCCGAGUUGUAAUUUGUAGAGGAUGCUUUUGGUGAGGUGCCUUCCGAGUUCCCUGGAACGGGACGCCAUAGAGGGUGAGAGCCCCGUCUGGUUGGACGCCGAACCUCUGUAAAGCUCCUUCGACGAGUCGAGUAGUUUGGGAAUGCUGCUCUAAAUGGGAGGUAUAUGUCUUCUAAAGCUAAAUACCGGCCAGRGACCGAUAGCGCACAAGUAGAGUGAUCGAAAGAUGAAAAGAACUUUGAAAAGAGAGUUAAACAGUACGUGAAAUUGUUGAAAGGGAAGCGCUUGUGACCAGACUUGGGCUUGGUUGAUCAUCCGGGGUUCUCCCCGGUGCACUCUUCCGGCCCAGGCCAGCAUCAGUUCGCCCUGGGGGACAAAGGCUUCGGGAACGUGGCUCUCUCCGGGGAGUGUUAUA